AUGAGAGGAUCAGUUACUGUCAACUUCCGGCUAAUUCCCUGGGGUUACAACUGCAGAAAAGACCAGUUAGAAGCUAUUAGGGUGGAGAAGGCCAAUGCAGAGGAUAGGAAGAAGAAAGGUUUGUCGGUGGGGUAUAUCCACAAAAGCCUAUACUGUCCUGAGAAAGGUGCCUUUUUCUCCCUCCCUCAUGAGAAAAUGGGUAAUGGAACUGGCACUUGUAGUUCCUGUGAGGAGCGAGUAGCGGUUGGUGAUGAAUUAAAAAUACUGUCAGAGACCAACUUUGUCCUCAAGAAUGUCACAUACAAUGUUCAUGACUUCAUGUAUAUCAGGCCCGAGUUUUUCCCUCGAGUCGAAGGCCGUGGGACCUACCGGGCUGGAAAAAAUGUGGGCCUGAAGCCCUAUGUGGUAUGUCGUUUGCCGAGUGUCAAUGGUACUUCAAGGUCUCAUAACGCUAAUCUGAAAUCAACAAAAGUUGGUGUAAGAAGGAUAUACAGGCCUGAUGAUAUUUCACCGGAUAAAGCUUACACUUCAGAUAUCAGAGAGGUGUGUACUACAAUGAAGAUAUAG
rnacentral:rRNA from 1 species